rnacentral:misc_RNA from 1 species
AUCAAUGUGUUUAUGUAUUAAAAACAAAUAACAUUAUAAUACCCAAACUGAUCACGAAAUGAAACAAGUAAUAGUUUCAUGUAGUGAAGAUAUUUUUUGUCAAAAUUCUUUGCCAUAAAUAAAUUGACUUUGAAAAGAAGCAUAAUAUAUAACUGUCUUUUUGAAUACGCCUCUAUCAAACCAAAGAUGGCUGCCCCCAUGAUGGUAGAAAAAUGGCUCAAAAGGAUAAGAAACAAAACCCAAGAGGAACUGGACUCUCUCUACAGCAGUGUCCUUCAGCUGCUGAACUCAGCUCAGCCAUCAGAGAGAGACCGAAGUGACUGCCUGUCUGAAGUGAGGAAGCUCUUCUUGUAUCUGUCGUGCACGAAAUAUAGAAGACGGUUACCAGAGGAGCUGGUUGACAUGCUAAAAACAAUCCUGACAGAGAAAAACUAUGGAAUAUCACCAGGGGCCAAAGGUCAUAUUUUAUGCAGUGCCAUACUGCAGGAAUAUGCUCCUACUGAGCAGGUGGUCAUUGACAGUUUCAAUCCCCCGGUGGACUUGAAACAGGUGCCGUUCAUCUUGCCAGUCGUAAUGAGUCAGGGCCAAAUGGUGGGGAACAUGGACAAGCUGGUCUCCCAGAUGGUUCGCUGGGUGUCCACUGUCGGAUUUGACAGUGAAGUCCAGGCGAGGGCUCUGGGAUGCCUGGUUACUGUGGUAACACUACACAGGCCUCUACUAUCUGGAGAACAAAUUUACGUUGUGAGUUCUCAGAUCAGUGACUGGUUGAGCCAGGCCAGCCUGUUCCAGGCACCCAAUCCAAAUACAAGAUCAAAGCCCAAGAAAGCAGACCAGGUGACAGAGAUAGAUGGCACCACCUGUCAAGACUUCUUCACCCUGCUGAACCUCAGCCAGUACUACUCGCAGGACCAGCUCCUCAAUCUUCACAGUUUCUCCUGUCUCCGCCAGUGGCUCCUGGGCACCCACUUCUCUGGCACUACCCCCUCUAGUGCCGAUUCCAGCUCAGGCAAGGUGACCCCGGAGUCGCCUGUGAUGCUCCUGUCGUCUGGGAGCUUCGCAACCAAAGCAAGACAAGUUCUGGUGGAGAAGGCCUGUGAAUAUUGUCUAAGAGUCAUAGACCAGUGUGAGAGAAAACCAUUAAAGUUUCAAGAUCAAGAAAUGAUGCAGGCUUGUUUAAUAGAAGCAGUGUCUCUACUUGAUGUCCUGUGUAGCCUCAAUCAUUUCUUGGUUGCCAAAAUCUUCCCAGCCAUCAAAGGAGUUUACAACCACCUGAGUGGUGAAAACAGCCAGCCCCGGGUCUUGCUACCUCUACUUCAGUUCUUCAUUCACCAUAGCGAGAUGGUGGUGUACAAUCCCAUUCCUGCCUAUGAGCAUUUCUUUGGAGAGAUCCUGUCUAGUCACUACACUAAUCCAGUCAUUGCAUUUGAUACCGUCAUGUUCUGCAGGGACAAUCUACAAAAACUCUGUGUGGACACAGACAUAUUGGAGAAAUUCUUCCCCAAUUUGCUGAAGAUACUAGCUUGGAAUCCCCGCACAUUUCUGAUGGAAUUUGUGGACAUUCUGCCAGCAAUGAUAUCACCAUCGACAGCAGUUGAAAUGCUACAUACACUGCUUGACCUCCCGUGCGAGGUCAUGGCUCUGGAGGUCAGCCAGCACACUAGUCGUCCUGGCAACCAGACUCCAGACAACUACCUGAUACCAGAGCCCACAUUAAGAUUGCCACCCACCUUGGAAGCGUACAGGAAUCCCGAGCACAAACCCUGGUUUAACUUCAUCCUUAGAGGGCGGAGCGGACAGGGAGAUACAAUUAGCAAGCUUGGUUUCCUGCACAAGUUGUUGUCUGACACCUCCUCCUAUCCUAGAGUUGUGCCAGUCUCUCAGGCAGUUCCAGUCCUCUUAAGACUUUAUUUCCAGACUGUUGUUGCCAAUGCUGACGGUAGUUUACUUUGUCAGCUUGUUCCAGUCAUGAUGGAACGUGCUGGUCUCCUAUUCAACAUUCCUUCAUUCACUCUAGAAGUCAGAAAGGUGCUAGCUGAUGAACUCUUGGCUAUGUUCAAGCAGUGCCCGGCCCUUAUCAUGGAUCUCAGGACUGAGCUCCUAGACUACGUCGCUACAAUCCGCAACAUCAAUGGCAAAGAGGAUUUCUUCACUCAUGUGGUAUGGAUCAUUGGUGACUACUCUUCCACUGCGUAUGACAGCAGGUGUAAUACGGAGGUCAUCAUUAAAUUUUAUGAGGCUCUCGAGACACUUCUGUAUGAAGUAUCAUCGUUGGUGCAGUCAUCCAGUGCUGGCAGUAUUCCUUACUCUGCUAGAUUACUGACAGUCUGUAUGACUGCCCUGGCAAAGCUGGCAUCUCGCUGCCAAGAUUUGAUCCCGCGAGUGUUGCUAUGCCUUACUAAAGUCUCCCAGCAACAGAUGAAAAGCUGUACAGAAGAUGAACACAAGAAAGCACUGUUGGACCGAGCCAAUGAACUCAUUAAUGUACUCAAGUUGCCUGAUGUUGCGGCAGCUAUCUUGAGUCCAUCCUCAGAGAUCACAGAUGUACACUGGCAUGAAGAUGUCAACACCUCCAUUCCUCUCCUACUGCAGGCAACUCACCAGAUUGUUCAGCAUGGAACGUAAAGCUUGUUGGUGUGGAUGUAUUGUUCAUACAAGUUCCCCGUGCACCAGCUUCUAAAUUUUCAUCAUUCUGAGCAGUGCUUCGUUGACGGACAGGUGGAAGGAUCGUAGAGCUCACUGCUUUCAGGCCCAAAGAAACAUUAAUACAGUCACCUCUGCUGGUUACUAGUGGUCCAGCAAGCAGCGGAAUGAUUGAUGAUGCCCUAAAGAGGGUUGUUGCUUUGGCUUAAGACAUGGUGGAUCUCGUCGAGUCAGGACUUCAAGUUCAAGCAGGAGCUGUAACUAGGGCUGGGCCCAGACCUGGCAUGACUGUUUUCUAUGGACAUGAUGGAAGUGCUAUAUGUAGGACAUCAUUCACAUUCCGUGGACUAAGAUGAUGUUAUCUGAGGGCACCUAAACUCCCGUGGCCAAUCACAGCAGAGGUUUCAUUUCGUCACAUGAGGGGAAGAAACCCAUCGUAUGGUUUGCACAGGAAACAGUCAGAUUGUACAUGCAAGGUCUGUUCUGCAUAUUGAGCCAACAACAGGGGGAGCAUUCACAUGGACUGGCUGUGCUCCAGACAGCACCAUAGUAGCGCAACUGCUGGCCGUCCUUUGCUUGUUCAAAAGGAGACAAUCGCACAUUUGUCAUGGUAGGACGGUCAAGUCAGAUCAGGUACUGUUCUCUGCGGCAACCUAAACAGCACACCUGAUGGAUCUGUGUUACAGAUUUUUUGUCAAGGAUAGUUUGCCAGAGAAAUCAUUGGAUUUCACAAAAAGACAGUCAAGCCAGAUCAGCUGCUGUUCUUUGUGGCGACCUGAACAGCACACCUGAUGGAUCUGUGUCAAGAAUUUUCUUGUCAAGGAGAGUUUACUGGAGAAAUCAAUGGAUUUUAAAAAAGUGUUUCAAGGUUUUAGCAGCCGUCUUGAUCUACUCCUUGAACUACCAAGACAUUCUUUAUACAAACCUUGUUGGAUGCUUAUGAGGUACUGAGAACCGGAUUGCAUCAUGUUUGAAGGAGAUACAAUGAAAGUGGACUGCACCAUUCCAAUAUUAAUUCACGAGGAACUGGCAAGACAUGUUGCUCUAUUGAACACUGUUCUUACUGGAUCACUCUACUUCGGACCUUUCAGCUGAAUUGGGACUAUACGUGUUUCUCUGCCUAGUGCUUCUCUCAUCACAACAUUUACCCCUGGUAUGUGAGCUGAGUUGAAAGUCCCUGUACCCAGCACUGUGUUUCUACGGGAUAUCACCUACCCCUGGUGUCUAGAGUCAAACGGACAUAUCUUGACUUCAAACCUGAACUUUUAUCCAGCUUACGCUGAAUUGCAUCACAUUCAGUUUUAUGCGCUGCAUUAAGGUAAAAGUAAAUCGAGCACAGUGAAUAGGCAGUUUCCGCAUCCAGGUUAAUUUGUUCGUGUCCGUACACAUAUCCGCAUGAAACAACAAAUACACAGGGUACAUACAAGGUUGCAAAAAUUUAGUUUUGCCAUGAAUUGCACGUCCGUACAUGUACGUGAUGAUGCACACAGCAACGUAGCAACAUUGGUAGCGCCCAUUUAUUCAAAAACAAGAAAUAUUCACCCCAGAUUUAACUCAAAGGCGUUGCUAUCGUAACAAACUAUACAUGAAGAGUUGUUAAAGUAAGAACUUUUGUUAUUAGGAAUACAAUAUGAUACUUAAUGUGGUGUGCAAAACCAAAACUUCAUACACACCAGUUCCGUACAAAGUUGCUUCCAUAUGUCGCCGUCCGCAGGGCUUCUCCGCAUUAUAUUAAACAAGACAUAACAGGCCUAGAGUGAUGAUGUCAUAAGCAAAAAAGAUGUGGAUACGUGAUACAUGCUCAUUUUCCGUUUGCCGAAACUGUCUAGUUGGGAGGCUUUCAUAUAAGACUGUUAUUUGCCUACACAGAAGUUUGAAAUAAUGGGUUGUAUGAAUAAAAACUAGCAAAUGCUAUGAAGUUCAAACAAAACAGCAAAAGCAUUUACUGAAAAGUAAAACCAUUAAGAAAUAAGCAAAUGCUUAAAUUUAUGUGAAUAAAAUGUAUGUUUUACUAUUCAGCAUUUACUAGUGACCGCACAGCUGAAUGGUUUUGCUCAAUAGGGCUUCCGUUGUCUGCAUGUACAGAUGCACACAUUGCAGCUCAGUGUUGUAUCUUGAGACCUCAGCAUGGCAGAUAAGCACAAUGGAAGUAAUUUUGAUCGCAAAACCUUAAUUAGGAAACUUGCUCUGAACCUCUCAAAUUGGUGCAACUGCCUACACCUGGUUUCUUGAGAUUCCCUCCUAAAGGCAAACAGCUUUUCCUUUCAAAUGACAUUUAUAAAUGCUGCCAUUUUGAACAUUAGUAAAUGCUUCUCCUUUUCAAGCUUGCUGUGACCCAGUCUUGAAAAAUACUCCAGUUCUGUAGAACUUACUCAUUUUUAUUCACACAAAAUGAAGCAACUGUUUGU